rfam:Otolemur garnettii contig051360, whole genome shotgun sequence.
GUGAGGGGUUGGGCAAAAGGAGGGAGGGGAGAGGGUGGGGAACGCAUGCCCCAAGAGCGAAGGCAAACAGCUGUGGAAACGCUGCCCGAGGCUCAGGCUUCCCAACAGGUUAGCUAUACCGGGAUCCACCCGGCAUUUCGCAGGAGGGAGGGGAGUGCAGAGCGAGAGGGGGAGAGAGCCUCACCAGAGGACAGAGGGAGGGAGGGAGAGAG